UUAAGUUCAGCGGGUAUCCCUACCUGAUCCGAGGUCAACCAUAGAAAAUUAGGGGUUUUGGCGAGCGGACCUCUAAGCCCUAUAGCGAGAGAAGUUACUACGCUUAGAGCCAGAAGGCACUGCCACUGAUUUUAAAAGCUGCCAGAAGGCAUGCUUCAACACCAAGCUAGGCUUGAGGGUUAUAAUGACGCUCGAACAGG
rnacentral:misc_RNA from 1 species